UAAAUAAUACUGUUGGCAUUUUCUCCAAAGUGUCUGAUGGUUACUAUAAAACUGUGUAUACAGGCUCAGAUGAUUGAUAGACUCCAGUAGAUCACAUCUGUAAAGUCAUGUGACUCAUCAGAGCAGUAGAAGAGACAAGAAUUCAAUGUGAGCUUCCCAUUAUAGCUAAUGAACCAAUCAGAUCAGUCCACAGCUUCAAAUCAUCCAAUCAGGUGUGAGUAAAAGCUGCUUUUCUACUGAACACACGAGUUGAUUUCCUCACUAUCACUGUGUCUGAACAGGAACGAUGAUCUCACUCUUUGUGGCGCUUUACUCUCUGCUUUGUCUCUGCACAGCUGUAAAAACAUCUGACAUCAAGGAGCUUCACGUGAGAACAGUAAAGAGUGGAGAAGAUGUAACUAUAGCGUGUAACAUCAGUCUGAUCACAGACAAAAGUAAAGCAGCCUGGUACAGACAGAGUUUUGGAAAAGUGCCUCAGUUUUUUGCAAAAUAUUACGGGACAAAUAACUACACAUUUACUGAUGGAUUUAAUGAUAAUCGCUUCAGUUUUACUGUAAAUGAGCAUCAGUUUGAUCUCAACAUUACGAACCUGAGAGAAGAUGAUGGAGGAGAAUAUUUCUGUGGAGAUUUGGAGGGAACUACAAUGAAGUUCACAUCUGGAGCACGUCUGCAAUUUGAAGAUAAAGAGAUGAAACUCUGUCCUUCACCUGGACCAGAAAUCAAGGUCACAGGUUCUGUUACACACCAGGGUUCAAACAACACG